ensembl:lncRNA
CAACACUGGGCGCAAACUCAUGAUGCUCGUCGGAGUUGGAGCAUACUGCUUAGACGUUGCGCUACGGAAAUUCACAACCCUCUAGCAAACCACGAGAAAACUGGUGCUAUCUGAUGGAACUCCCAUACGGACUCGGGAGAGGCGAAGGUCGAGAGCCGUUCGUCCCCCGAAACACAACCCAGCCGAGCCGCACUGCUUCUUGACACAAUGCCCACUUAACCCGGAAGCCAGCCGCAUCAAUGUGACUGAGGAAACACCGUACACCUGGCUACCGUGUAAGCGUGCAUUGCGCCCAGCCCGCCACAGAAGUCGCUAGAGUGCAAUGGGAUAAGAACAUCCCUGCCAGCCAAACCCUCCCUAACCCGGAUGACGCUGGGACAAUUUUGCGCCGCCCCAUGGGUCUCCCGGUCGCGGCAGAGCCUGGACUCAAACCAGGAUCUCUGCUAUCACUGUGAUGCAGUGCCUUAGACCAGCGGUCUCCAACUUCCGGGCUGCGGACCGGCACAUUCGCUACCGGGCUUAUCUGUAAAAUAAAAUGAUAAUUAUAUACAAUUAUAGGCU